CCUACGGGAGGCAGCAGUGAGGAAUAUUGGUCAAUGGGCGCGAGCCUGAACCAGCCAUGCCGCGUGAAGGAUGACGGCCCUACGAGUUGUAAACUGCUUUUAUAAAAGAGUAAAGGUAGGGACGCGUGCCUAUCUGUACGUACCUUACGAAUAAGGAUCGGCUAACUCCGUGCCAGCAGCCGCGGUAAUACGGAGGAUGCGAGCGUUAUCCGGAUUUAUUGGGUUUAAAGGGGGCGUAGGGGGAUGGUUAAGUAAGUUGUGAAAGUUUGGGGCUCAACUGUGGAAUUGCAGUUGAAACUGGCCGUCUUGAGUGCAGUAGAGGUGGGCGGAAUUCGUGGUGUAGCGGUGAAAUGCUUAGAUAUCACGAAGAACACCGAUUGCGAAGGCAGCUCACUGGACUGCAACUGACGCUGAGGCACGAAAGUGUGGGUAGCAAACAGGAUUAGAUACCCGUGUAGUC
rnacentral:rRNA from 1 species